CGACAUGUGAUUAUUGUUUAACGCAUUGUAAUGAACAGGUUUGUAUGAUAUCGUACGAAAACCUGUGCACAACAAUUCUUAUGAUAUCCUACGAAAUUAUA